rnacentral:rRNA from 1 species
AGAGUUUGAUUAUGGCGUCAGGAUGAACGCUGGCGGCGUGCAUAACACAUUCAAGUCGAACGGCAGUAUUCCUUCGGGGUGCUGCUAGUGGCGGACGGGUGAGUAACGCGUGAGCAACCUGCCUCUGUGAGUGGAAUAACACAGGGAAACUUGUGCUAAUACCGCAUGACGAAGCGAAGCCGCAUGACUUUGCUUCCAAAGAUUUAUCGCACAGAGAUGGGCUCGCGUCCGAUUAGGCAGUUGGUGAGGUAACGGCUCACCAAACCGACGAUCGGUAGCCGGACUGAGAGGUUGAACGGCCACAUUGGAACUGAGAUACGGUCCAGACUCCUACGGGAGGCAGCAGUGGGGAAUAUUGGGCAAUGGGCGCCAAGCCUGACCCAGCGACGCCGCGUGAGGGAAGAAGGUCUUCGGAUUGUAAACCUCUUUGACAGGGGACGAAGUAAGUGACGGUACCCUGAAAACAAGCCACGGCUAACUACGUGCCAGCAGCCGC